CUUCGUGGAAACAGUUGCUGUGUGGAAGACUGUAACCACCACAGAGGGGCUGAGAUUAGAUGACCCAGCUUGGAUUGCUUUUCUGUAGCGCCUUCCCAGCUGGCUCUGCUGCAGCAGCUUUGCAAACUCCUGGACUGCAACUGAAAGACUUCAUCUUUCUCUGGCCCUUGGCCCCCAGCAUGCCAUAUUAAGCCUGAAGGCUAUGCAAGGCUGGGAUGUCUUCUCCCAGCUGGAGAUGUCCCUGCAUGAAGGUGGCACUCAGGGUAAUAAAAACAUAUGUCCACACAAA